UUAUAAUGUUCCUCACUCACUUCAAUUCACUGAGAAAUCUACAAAUUAUACAAAUGAAAUAUUAGAUAAUAUAAAGAUUAAAGUGGAACCACAUACUGAAGAUUUGCCAAAGACAUAUGAGGAAACAAGAAUUAACACUUGUGUGCAAAGUACAAGUGUCCCGGUAAAUUCGACGAACGUUGCCAACGCAUCCGAAAAGUCAUCUUUCGAUGUUACCGAACUAACUGAACCUUUACAUAAGAAACGGGAAAACUUUUCUAGCAAUGAUCAAACAACUAACAAUAUAAUAUCUAAUAACACUGAAUUUAAAAGAAGAGAAAACAUAUUAAAAUUGAAAAUUCUUCGCGCUCAGCUUAUUAGAGAAGAAGAGGAGAACAAAAUUAGAA